rnacentral:rRNA from 1 species
UACGAAGGGGCUAGCGUUGCUCGGAAUCACUGGGCGUAAAGGGUGCGUAGGCGGGUCUUUAAGUCAGGGGUGAAAUCCUAGGCAGCUCAACUCCAGAACUGCCUUUGAAUACUUGAAGGAUCUUGAGUUCGGGGAGAGGUGAGGUGGAACUGCGAGUGUAGAGGUGAAAUUCGUAGAUAUUACGCAAGAACACCAGUGGCGAAGGCG